AUGCUCACUUUGGCAUCACAUAUACUAAAACUGGAAUGAGAGAGAGAAGAUUAGCAUGGCCCAUGUGCAAGGAUGACACAUAAAUUCGUGAAGUGUUCCUUUUUUUU